rnacentral:rRNA from 1 species
UAUAUUCUGUAGCAAGGUUAACCGUAUAGGGGAGCCGGAGGGAAACCGAGUCUUAAUUGGGCGUUAAGUUGCAGGGUAUAGACCCGAAACCCGGUGAUCUAGCCAUGGGCAGGUUGAAGGUUGGGUAACACUAACUGGAGGACCGAACCGACUAAUGUUGAAAAAUUAGCGGAUGACCUGUGGCUGGGGGUGAAAGGCCAAUCAAACCGGGAGAUAGCUGGUUCUCCCCGAAAGCUAUUUAGGUAGCGCCUCGUGAAUUCAUCUCCGGGGGUAGAGCACUGUUUCGGCUAGGGGGCCAUCCCGGCUUACCAACCCGAUGCA